GUAGAAGAAGAAUUGAGAAGGAAAAGGGAUUAAACCCAACGGGUACACCAAAAAUCCGAACUGAACCGAUUUGGGGUUUUCCCAAUUCGACGAAGAAACCUAGUUCCAGUAAUCUCCCUCUUCACUCAUCGGUCGGGAUUUUCCCUCUCCCCACUUACUGGUUUUCAGUUCUUUCUGCAAUGGUUGAAAUUGACGUGAAGUGAGUUAGAUAUGAAUUCUAGAAGAGUUACAUCUCAGAUUUUAUUGUAGAACUGGCCAGCUUAAUGAGGGAGACGAUAUGAAAUACUUAUUUGUCUGCAGGGUUUCGUGUAAUUAAACCAUGCUUUUGCUACAACGUGUUGCUAGAGUUGAAUCUAAAACAAAAAGUGGGAUUUUUGUUUCCUCAUUUAAGGACAUCUUCAAUGAAGCUCUUGUAUCUGCCUCAACUUGUCCCAAUUUACAUUAUGUCUCCUCUGUUGCUGGAGUUGGUGGUAAUGGCAACAGGGAUAUUCCUAUGUGUUUCCCUUGGAUGUCCACGAAAAUUGCUACAAGCUUGGCAGCAGCAGCAGGUGCAGAUGGGAUGAUCACUAAAGAAGUAACCUUGUCCUUUAAGGAGUGGUUAAAAUCUGGAAGCCACCCUUUGUAUGAUCAAAUCUUCCAAAUCCUCCAAGGGGCUAGAGAUGAUCAAGAAAUGCCAUAUCGUCCUUCCCCUGCUGAUCUUGCUCUUUCUAGGCUUGACCUUCGCCUCAAUGAGUCAUUUGUCUUAGAUGUCCUCCGUUUUGGCUCCAAGGAUGUUCUGUCUUGCCUCAAGUUCUUUGACUGGGCUGGACGCCAGCGGGGGUUCUUCCAUACACGUGCCACAUUCAAUGCCAUGCUUAAGAUUCUCUCCAAGGCCAAGCUCAUGCCCCUCAUGUUUGAUUUCCUUGAAAACUAUGUGCAGCAGAGAAUUUACCAUAAGUCUUGUUUUUACAAUACAUUGGUUAUGGGUUAUGCUGCUGCCGGGAAACCCAUUUUUGCUCUUCAUCUGUUUGGUAAAAUGCGCUUUCAAGGACUUGAUCUUGAUCCUUUUGCCUACCAUGUUCUUUUGAAUUCUCUUGUUGAGGAGAAUUGCUUUGAUGCGGUGCAUGUUAUUUUCAAGCAGAUCACUUUGAGGGGGUUUGUGAAUGAGAUCACACAUUACUUGAUGCUAAAAUUUUUUUGCAAGCAGAGUCAGUUGGAUGAAGCAGAAACCUUCUUGCACGAGUUGGUAGACAGUGGGAAAGGACUGAAUGGGCGUAUGCUGGGUUAUCUUGUUGGUGCACUUUGCCAAAGUGGAAACUUUGAGAGGGCAUGGAAGUUGGUUGAAGGGUUUAGAGACUUAAAAUUAGUUUCAAUGGUGCAUGUGUAUGGUGUGUGGAUAACAGAACUUAUUAAGGCUGGGAAGCUGGAGAGUGCUCAACAGUUCUUAUAUAGCAUAAAGGCAGAUGAAAAUUACAUUCCUGAUGUCUUUCGUUAUAAUAUGUUGAUUCAUAGACUUCUAAGAAAAAACCGACUUCAGGAGGUGUUCGACUUGCUUACGGAGAUGAUGGAGGAACAUAUUCCCCCCAAUAAAGUUACCAUGAAUGCUACCAUGUGUUUCCUCUGCAAAGCUGGGAUGGUGGAAGUUGCACUUGAUUUAUACAACUCCAGAUUAGAAUUUGGGAUUUCCGCUAGUAGUAUGGCAUAUAACUAUUUGAUCAAUACUUUAUGUGGGUAUGGAAGCACUGAUGAAGCAUACCGCAUCUUGAAAAACUCCAUAGAUGAAGGUUAUUUUCCAGGAAAAAGGACGUUUUCUAUACUUGCAAAUGCUUUGUGCCGAGAGGGAAAGCUCGAUAAGAUGAAAGAGUUGGUUAUUUUUGCCUUAGAGAGGAACUUUGUGCCCAGUGAUUCCACAUAUGACAAGUUUAUAUCUGCUCUGUGUAGGGCUAAGAGGGUUGAAGAUGGAUACUUGAUUCAUAGUGAACUUAAUAGAAUAAAUGUAGUAGCCACAAAGAACACCUAUUUUACCUUGAUAGAUGGUUUUAACAAGGCAAUAAGAGGUGAUAUUGCUGCAAGACUACUUAUUGAGAUGCAGGAAAAGGGUCACAAUGCAACUAGGAAGUUAUUUAGAGCAGUUAUUCGUUGUCUUAUUGAAAUGGAAAAUAUGGAAAAGCAAUUUUUUAACUUGCUUGAGCUACAGUUAUCUCGUCAAGAACCCAAUUCUGAGGUGUACAAUAACUUCAUUUAUGGAGCUGCACUUGCAAAAAAGCCUGAGCUUGCUAGAGAAGUAUAUCAGAUGAUGUUGAGAAAUGGAAUCAGACCUAAUUUGACUUCUGACAUUCUUUUGCUAAAGUGCUACUUACGUAGUGAACGCAUUUCUGAUGCUUUGACUUUUUUAAGCAGUUUGUAUCAGACAAGAACUAUUGGGAGGAAAAUUUCCAACGUCAUGAUUGUUGGUCUAUGCAAAGCCAAUAAGGCUGGUCUUGCACUUGAUUUUUUGAGGGACGUGAGGGAUAAGGGUGCAAUACCUAGUAUAGAAUGCUAUGAGGAGUUGGUGUUGCAUUUCUGUCAACACGAAAGAUAUGAUUUGGCGGUAAAUCUUAUAAAAGAUCUAGAUAAAGUUGGGCGUCCAAUUACAUCCUUUCUUGGUAAUAUGCUUCUAUAUAAUUCAUUGAAGACUCAAAAGCUCUAUGAAGCCUGGGUUAACUCAAGAGAGGGACAAGUGGAGACUUAUCAAAGUUCUAUGCUUGGACUGCUAAUUGGGGCAUUUUCUGGCCGUAUUAGAGUAAGCCAGUCUAUUAAGAACCUGGAAAAAACGAUCGCCAAGUGCUUCCCACUUGACAUCUAUACGUACAAUCUAUUAUUGAGGAGGCUAUGCCCAAAUGACCUGGAACAAGCAUUUGAAUUGUUCGAUCGAUUGUGUGAGAAAGGAUAUGUGCCGAAUAGGUGGACUUAUGAUAUAUUGGUUCAUGGUCUUUUCAAGCAAGAGAGGACACUAGAGGCAAAGAGAUUGUUGGAAGUAAUGUAUCAAAAAGGGUUCAGUCCGACGAAGGCUACUAAAACAUUUAGUUAAUCCAACAGCGUUCACACGAGGUCAUGAUCUACAGAAAGUUUGGUCCUAUUGUGCCCCUUCCGCAAAAUAUUAUUUUAUUUCGUUCAAUGAAGCGUGGAAAGGCCUAAAGAUUUUGUCCAGCAGAGCAUCAACGUAUUUCUUGGCUUAGUAUUUCAUGGAACAAGUGGUGUAGAAGAUUGUUUAGUCAAAGAGAUAGUAGUUUCCAAUCCAACAAUUUCUACAGUUCGAAAUAAUUCUUCUUUUUUAUUUUUUUUAGAUUAUAAUGAUUUGUUGUAAUUUUGAAUUAGAGUCCUCAUAUUAAUUUUUGUAAACUAUUUUGCAAGAUGAGUAACAAGUCAGAUGACGUCAACAUAAUGCUUCAUCAAUGCAUUUGAAGGAAUUCACAUUGGAAAAAGUGAAAAAUAGCAUGUAAAAUUCAAGGAUUGCCACUUCAAGGAUUCAAUUCAGUAUGUUUACUCAAAAUGCUAACAAGGAAACAAACUCGAAUACCACUCAGUCUGUCAGUGUUCCCUGGAGGAAUGCCAUCCAUGAAUGCACCUCACAUUUACCCACCCAUGGGUUUAGGAAUAGUGUGGCAGUAUCUCCUGUGGAGAAUUUUGGUUCAGCUGCAGCCUCUACCUCGAAAGAUGCAUCACCAAACAUUAAUUCACCCAUGGUGCCACUGACGCUUCAAUUACUCCAAUUCUUAGACAGAGAUUUCUGGUGAAAGGUUAGAACCCUCUACUGUUAUUUCCUCUUCAGAUCCUGGUUUGGCAACUUUCUCGCAGAACUUUCUAGCAAAAAGACUUCUUCGGCCAUUGACUCUCACCAGAAUAGUAAUGCCAGUGAGGAUUUCUCAUCUUACCAGUAGUGUGGUCUUGUCAUCUCUGAGAUAAAGGCUUCAGGUUCUUCUUUGAUUGCAUAGACUUUGAAGAUCAUUUCAUUUCCUGGAAUACAAAAAGUAUGUGGGAUUCCAACAAGAGAAUUACGUUGAAAACUUUCUCAAGGAUCACACCUAGCUCUUUUGCUAUUUCAUGAGUCUAAAUUACCUAGCUUUGUUUCAAAGGUUCAAAUGAGUAUGAAGUUCUAAAUUUGUCGAUUGGUCAUCUAUAAUCCCCAUUGUUUGCUCAAUUGGAUUAUCAUGGUUUUGGAUUA